CCUGAGGCCAGAAGAAGAGCCUUUGAACCUGAUAUUCAUUUUUCUCAACUUUCUUUUGUUAUCACAGGGAACCCAGCAAACUGUGUGUUUUCCCUAAAUAUAACUGGCUUAAUGAAAUAUGAGCCUGCACUUCAAGGAACACCCGGUUGAGGACUUCCAGCUCUCUGAGAUAAACCUCUUCACUCUCCAGGAUGCCUUUCAGGACCACCAGCCUCCUCUCCAACAUUUCCUCUGUGCUGUGUAAAGUCUGAAGGACAAACAGCAGUCAACAAAUGCAAACUAACAUAAUCCAACGCAUCCUGGAAGACGUCCAUCAGAUGUCAGAUGUUUCUCUUCACAGAGCGAGCUGAGCUCUGAAGACGCAAGCUUGUGAACAGCCGACAGUAGAACAAAAAAAAAAAACUUCCUCUUUCUGUCAAUGAUGAGCAAAAGGGGAAAAUACAACUUCCUGUCUGGGUGAAACCCGUUGAAAGUUGAUGAGAACUGCCACCUGACAGUUUUUUUUUUAAUCAU